UCGCGGCCUAUCAGCUUUGUUGGUGAGGUAACGGCUCACCAAGGCAUCGACGGGUAGCUGGUCUGAGAGGAUGAUCAGCCACACUGGCACUGAGACACGGCCCAGACUCCUACGGGAGGCAGCAGUGGGGAAUAUUGCACAAUGGGCGAAAGCCUGAUGCAGCAACGCCGCGUGCGGGAAGAAGGCCCUAGGGUUGUAAACCGCUUUCAGCAGGGAAGAAAAUGACGGUACCUGCAGAAGAAGGUGCGGCCAACUACGUGCCAGCAGCCGCGGUGACACGUAGGCACCAAGCGUUGUCCGGAUUUAUUGGGCGUAAAGAGCUCGUAGGCGGUUCAGUAAGUCGGGUGUGAAAACUCUGGGCUCAACCCAGAGACGCCACCCGAUACUGCUGUGACUUGAGUACGGUAGGGGAGCGGGGAAUUCCUGGUGUAGCGGUGAAAUGCGCAGAUAUCAGGAGGAACACCAGUGGCGAAGGCGCCGCUCUGGGCCGAAACUGACGCUGAGGAGCGAAAGCGUGGGUAGCAAACAGGAUUAGAUACCCUGGUAGUCCACGCCGUAAACGUUGGGCACUAGGUGUGGGUCUCAACCAACGAGAUCCGCGCCGUCGCUAACGCAUUAAGUGCCCCGCCUGGGGAGUACGG
rnacentral:rRNA from 1 species